rnacentral:rRNA from 1 species
GACGAACGCUGGCGGCGUGCUUAACACAUGCAAGUCGAACGCUGAAGCCCAGCUUGCUGGGUGGAUGAGUGGCGAACGGGUGAGUAACACGUGAGUAACCUGCCCCCUUCUUUGGGAUAACGCCCGGAAACGGGUGCUAAUACUGGAUAUUCACUGGCCUUCGCAUGGGGGUUGGUGGAAAGGUUUUUUCUGGUGGGGGAUGGGCUCGCGGCCUAUCAGCUUGUUGGUGGGGUGAUGGCCUACCAAGGCUUUGACGGGUAGCCGGCCUGAGAGGGUGACCGGUCACAUUGAGACUGAGAUACGGCCCAGACUCCUACGGGAGGCAGCAGUGGGGAAUAUUGCACAAUGGGCGAAAGCCUGAUGCAGCGACGCCGCGUGAGGGAUGACGGCCUUCGGGUUGUAAACCUCUUUCGCUCAUGGUCAAGCCGCAACAAUGGUUGUGGUGAGGGUAGUGGGUAAAGAAGCGCCGGCUAACUACGUGCCAGCAGCCGCGGUAAUACGUAGGGCGCGAGCGUUGUCCGGAAUUAUUGGUCGUAAAGGGCUUGUAGGCGGUUGGUCGCGUCUGCCGUGAAAUCCUCUGGCAUAACUGGGGGC